UACGUAGGGGGCUAGCGUUGUCCGGAUUUAUUGGGCGUAAAGAGCGUGUAGGCGGCCAUGUAGGUCCGGUGUGAAAACUCGAGGCUUAACCUCGAGAUGUCAUCGGAAACCAUUUGGCUAGAGUCCGGAAGGGGAGAGUGGAAUUCCUGGUGUAGCGGUGAAAUGCGCAGAUAUCAGGAGGAACACCGGUGGCGAAGGCGGGUCUCUGGGCCGAUACUGACGCUGAGGAGCGAAAGCGUGGGGAGCGAACAGG
rnacentral:rRNA from 1 species